ACGUAGGGCGCGAGCGUUGUCCGGAUUUAUUGGGCGUAAAGAGCUCGUAGGCGGUUUGUCGCGUCGUCCGUGAAAACUCACAGCUUAACUGUGAGCUUGCGGUCGAUACGGGCAGGCUAGAGUUCGGUAGGGGAGACUGGAAUUCCUGGUGUAGCGGUGAAAUGCGCAGAUAUCAGGAGGAACACCGAUGGCGAAGGCAGGUCUCUGGGCAUUAACUGACGCUGAGGAGCGAAAGCAUGGGGAGCGAACAGGA
rnacentral:rRNA from 1 species